AAAUUUGUUUCAGAACUUAAUAAAACUUAAAAAAAGAAAAAGGUUCACCCAGGGCGAGGCUUGGCCAUUGAACUCCGGCUGUGCUGACCCCUGCGAAUUCCCCAAAUGCGGGAAUCUCGACUGCAUAAUUUCUGGUAGUGGGGGACUGCGUUCGCGCUCUCCCCUG